rnacentral:rRNA from 1 species
CCUACGGGGGGCUGCAGUGGGGAAUAUUGGACAAUGGGGGGAACCCUGAUCCAGCCAUGCCGCGUGUGUGAAGAAGGCCCUCGGGUUGUAAAGCACUUUCAGUGAGGAAGAACGCCUGGUGGUUAAUACCCAUCAGGAAAGACAUCACUCACAGAAGAAGCACCGGCUAACUCCGUGCCAGCAGCCGCGGUAAUACGGAGGGUGCGAGCGUUAAUCGGAAUUACUGGGCGUAAAGCGCGCGUAGGUGGCUUGAUAAGCCGGUUGUGAAAGCCCCGGGCUCAACCUGGGAACGGCAUCCGGAACUGUCAAGCUAGAGUGCAGGAGAGGAAGGUAGAUUUCCCGGUGUAGCGGUGAAAUGCGUAGAGAUCGGGAGGAAUACCAGUGGCGAAGGCGGCCUUCUGGACUGACACUGACACUGAGGUGCGAAAGCGUGGGUAGCAAACAGGAUUAGAUACCCUUGUAGUC